GAUGAAGAACGUAGCGAAAUGCGAUAAGUAAUGUGAAUUGCAGAAUUCAGUGAAUCAUCGAAUCUUUGAACGCACAUUGCGCCCGCCAGUAUUCUGGCGGGCAUGCCUGUUCGAGCGUCAUUUCAACCCUCAGGCCCCGCCUGGCGUUGGGGAUCGGCGCGGCCCUCUCCGGGCUGCCGGCCCCGAAAACUAGUGGCGGUCUCGCUGUAGUCCUCCUCUGCGCAGUAGCAACGCUCGCACUGGAACUCGGCGCGGCCACGCCGUAAAACACCCCACUUCUGAAAGUUGACCUCGGAUCAGGCAGGAAUACCCGCUGAACUUAAGCAUAUCAAUAAGCGGAGGA
rnacentral:misc_RNA from 1 species